GGGUUGUGAGGUUAAGCGACUAAGCGUACACGGUGGAUGCCCUGGCAGUCAGAGGCGAUGAAGGGCGUGCUAAUCUGCGAUAAGCGCCGGUAAGGUGAUAUGAACCGUUAUAACCGGCGAUACCCGAAUGGGGAAACCCAGUGUGAUUCGUCACACUAUCAUUAACUGAAUCCAUAGGUUAAUGAGGCGAACCGGGGGAACUGAAACAUCUAAGUACCCCGAGGAAAAGAAAUCAACCGAGAUUCCCCCAGUAGCGGCGAGCGAACGGGGAGGAGCCCAGAGCCUGAAUCAGCAUGUGUGUUAGUGGAAGCGUCUGGAAAGGCGCGCGAUACAGGGUGACAGC
rnacentral:rRNA from 1 species